rnacentral:rRNA from 1 species
CAGCCGCCGCGGUAAUACCAGCCCCGCGAGUGGUCGGGACGGUUAUUGGGCCUAAAGCGCCCGUAGCCGGCCCGGCAAGUCCCUCCUUAAAGCCUCGGGCCCAACCCGAGGACGGGGGGGAUACUGCCGGGCUAGGGGGCGGGAGAGGCCGGCGGUACUCCCGGGGUAGGGGCGAAAUCCGUUAAUCCCGGGAGGACCACCAGUGGCGAAGGCGGCCGGCUGGAACGCGCCCGACGGUGAGGGGCGAAAGCCGGGGGAGCGACCCGGAUUAGAUACCCGGGUAGUCCCGGCUGUAAACGAUGCGGGCUAGCUGUUGGGCGGGCUUAGAGCCCGCCCAGUGGCGCAGGGAAGCCGUUAAGUCCGCCGCCUGGGGAGUACGGCCGCAAGGCUGAAACUUAAAGGAAUUGGCGGG